UGGGGAAUUUUGGACAAUGGGCGCAAGCCUGAUCCAGCCAUGCCGCGUGCAGGAUGAAGGCCUUCGGGUUGUAAACUGCUUUUGUACGGAACGAAAAGGUGCCUUCUAAUAAAGGGCGCUCAUGACGGUACCGUAAGAAUAAGCACCGGCUAACUACGUGCCAGCAGCCGCGGUAAUACGUAGGGUGCGAGCGUUAAUCGGAAUUACUGGGCGUAAAGCGUGCGCAGGCGGUUUUGUAAGACAGAGGUGAAAUCCCCGGGCUCAACCUGGGAACUGCCUUUGUGACUGCAAGGCUGGAGUGCGGCAGAGGGGGAUGGAAUUCCGCGUGUAGCAGUGAAAUGCGUAGAUAUGCGGAGGAACACCGAUGGCGAAGGCAAUCCCCUGGGCCUGUACUGACGCUCAUGCACGAAAGCGUGGGGAGCAAACA
rnacentral:rRNA from 1 species